GGCGCCAUGGUCAAGUGGUUAAGACACCACCCUUUCACGGUGGUAUCACGAGUUCGAACCUCGUUGGCGUCA
rfam:Oribacterium sp. oral taxon 078 str. F0262 genomic scaffold Scfld0, whole genome shotgun sequence.